CAGCAGCCGCGGCCACGAGUUCGAUCAAUUCAUCGACUGCCCGAUCUCGCUCCUUGGGAGUGAGUUUNUGUCUUCCCGAAGCCAUUCAAGUUCAUCCAUCAAUGCAUGCGUCGUCUCUUCUUUCAUAUGGAAGAAGAAUAUAUCCUUGAACAACGCGGAGAGGCUUUCAUCUGGCUCAAUGCUCUGCCGGUAAUGCUCCUGGGUGAAAAGCUCGAUCUCAAGGAUCAGGGCCAGCACGGCCCAGGUGGAUUUUUUUAGGACAGCCGCUGCAACGGCAUCAGGCUGAUGCGGGAAUCUGUAACCCUCCGGCAUUCCGGCGGCCAACAUCGGCUCGAUCCGACGAAACAACUUCUGAUGUUUCAACUCCUCGUCACAGAAACGGACCAGGGCUUCGAGGGCGAUCUGAUCCCCCAGCCAAUGCCCCCGUGUGAGGUCAAGGACCUUGGCCACAAUGAAGCGUUCGACAAAUCCGAACAUGUUGGCGUAGGUCCGGCCCUGGACCUGGCUGAGAAACCUCCUCUCUUCUUCGUUGAGGAAGUCAAAUUGGUCUACCUUGGAGAGGCCGUCCGGAAGGAAUUUCUGCGAUAAAUCAAAGGUGCGGCCCCGGAUCACAUCCUUAUCGAUGUCCCAGCGAACCUGCUUCGACAUUUCAAUGCACUUCGCGUAGUCAUAGCCUUCCAUGCUGUCCUCCCCCUUUCUCAGAAAGGCGUAACAAGGUAGAGCUC
rnacentral:rRNA from 1 species